rnacentral:rRNA from 1 species
AUGAAGGUUUUAGGAUUGUAAACUCCUUUUGUUAGAGAAGAUAAUGACGGUAUCUAACGAAUAAGCACCGGCUAACUCCGUGCCAGCAGCCGCGGUAAUACGGAGGGUGCAAGCGUUACUCGGAAUCACUGGGCGUAAAGAGCGCGUAGGCGGGAUAGUCAGUCAGGUGUGAAAUCCUAUGGCUUAACCAUAGAACUGCAUUUGAAACUACUAUUCUAGAGUGUGGGAGAGGUAGGUGGAAUUCUUGGUGUAGGGGUAAAAUCCGUAGAGAUCAAGAGGAAUACUCAUUGCGAAGGCGACCUGCUGGAACAUUACUGACGCUGAUUGCGCGAAAGCGUGGGGAGCAAACAGGAUUAGAUACCCUGGUAGUCCACGCCCUAAACGAUGGAUGCUAGUUGUUGGAGGGCUUAGUCUCUCCAGUAAUGCAGCUAACGCAUUAAGCAUCCCGCCUGGGGAGUACGGUCGCAAGAUUAAAACUCAAAGGAAUAGACGGGGACCCGCACAAGCGGUGGAGCAUGUGGUUUAAUUCGAAGAUACACGAAGAACCUUACCUAGGCUUGACAUUGAGAGAAUCCGCUAGAAAUAGUGGAGUGUCUGGCUUGCCAGACCUUGAAAACAGGUGCUGCACGGCUGUCGUCAGCUCGUGUCGUGAGAUGUUGGGUUAAGUCCCGCAACGAGCGCAACCCCCUUUCUUAGUUGCUAACAGGUCAUGCUGAGAACUCUAAGGAUACUGCCUCCGUAAGGAGGAGGAAGGUGGGGACGACGUCAAGUCAUCAUGGCCCUUACGCCUAGGGCUACACACGUGCUACAAUGGGGUGCACAAAGAGAAGCAAUACUGCGAAGUGGAGCCAAUCUUCAAAACACCUCUCAGUUCGGAUUGUAGGCUGCAACUCGCCUGCAUGAAGCUGGAAUCGCUAGUAAUCGCAAAUCAGCCAUGUUGCGGUGAAUACGUUCCCGGGUCUUGUACUCACCGCCCGUCACACCAUGGGAGUUGUGUUUGCCUUAAGUCAGGAUGCUAAAUUGGCUACUGCCCACGGCACACACAGCGACUGGGGUGAAGUCGUAACAAGGUAACCGUAGGUGAACCUGCGGUUG